rnacentral:sRNA from 1 species
AUGAAGGGACCCGGAAAGAGGGGUGGAGGUUGGAGUGAGCCGUGGUGGGAGCCGCGUAGGCAGCUGUGGACGGGGAUGGUGAGGGUGCAAAGUAUAUCUACCUCCUCGCUGGAAUUGGCGGUUGUUGACAGUGUUGACGGAUGUAGGUGGCUUGCCUUACCCUGGUGAUAAUGCCCAGGUACUGGGUCUGUGUGGGUCGGGCUUGGAUAUUGAUGGUAUAAUCACAAUAGCCACAAAAUAGGAAUGUCGAGUGCAGAACCUGGAGAGAAAGAGCGUGACGACAGAAGUAAGGAAGAGCAAGGGAAUAAGGGUAAAUAAGAUAUAUCCCACGACAAGGAGGUGCCUGCUUCUGGUGUGUGUAUUAAUAGAUUUACUGCCUGCGCAGCAGCGAGACCUCAAACUCUCUGUCUCUGCCUCUCUCGCUCUCUCGCAGUUCGUUUUUUCCCCUGCCUAUUUAUAUCUCCUCCUUUUCUUUCUUUCUUUCUUUCUUCCUUCCUUACCGUCCUUCCGUCCUUUCUUCUUUCUCGCGAUAUAUCAAUCGUUCUCUAUCUCCGUUGUCUACCUUUGGCACAGCAGAGACCUCUCGCAGUCGUAGCAAUUGACUUUUGACAAGGGCGUGCGGCUUGGCGGAAGCGACGACAUCGGAAAACGGCGCUUAUGUAACAAAAUGAUCGACUCCGGG